rnacentral:rRNA from 1 species
UACAGAGGUCUCAAGCGUUGUUCGGAUUCAUUGGGCGUAAAGGGUGUGUAGGUGGCGCGCUAAGUCGGGUGUGAAAUUUCGGAGCUUAACUCCGAAACUGCAUUCGAUACUGCGGUGCUUGAGGACUGGAGAGGAGACUGGAAUUCAUGGUGUAGCAGUGAAAUGCGUAGAGAUCAUGAGGAAGACCAGUGGCGAAGGCGGGUCUCUGGACAGUUCCUGACACUGAGACGAAGGCCAGGGGAGCAAACGGGAUUAGAACCUCC